GGGCUUUUGGUCUAGUGGCACGAAUUUUGCUUUGGGUGCAAGGAGUCUCGAGUUCGGUCCCCGGAACGCCCC